UAGCACCAAUGCACAGGGACAUGCACUCACAAGCAGGACAAGUGCCAACCUGAACCAUCUUUUAGUAUCAUUAACUCUCAUUAGCAUUGGAACUGCUGCAACCCCUGCUGCUAUUGUCACCACAGCUGCAUUGGUAGUAGCAAUGGAGAAAUCUUGCUGAGAGGAUCUUCAACUAAUGGCCUACUAACCUGGUCAUCGGUGGUCAAAUAGUUAGUUGAAGAAGCAUGACAAAAGUAUUGUACCAUCUAUGUUUAGUGUGCCAGCCCAAACUGGUGAUUGCGGCUGCUUGACGACAGGGAAGGACUCUCCUGUGAGGCUACUCUCAUCAACUUCACUCUGCCCUUCAACCACAACUCCAUCGAUUGGGAUCACUUCUCCAGCUUUAACUGCCAGAAUUGUGUUGGUCUUCACGUCUUGAGCAUCCACUACUUCGCCUGUUUCCGCUAGAAUGGCCUUUUGUGGUGCCAUCCUCAUCAGCGUUGACAUCCCAGCGGUGGCCUGGAGGUAACUUAGGUUCAAACAAGUUUCAUAAGUUCCUUUGGCAGGCUCAUAUAUUGUUCAGUGAUGACACAGGAAGCAUUUUGUGGUCAGUGUCUCCAAACCUCUCAAGUAGUCCCCAAACUUGCACCAUACUUUCACUGCAAAUCUAUACAUUCACUUGAUUGCAUUGAAUGUGUAGAAAAGUAUUGGAGUAUAUCAGACUCCAGCCAGAUGGUUUUGAUGAACUGUAUCUGACUGGUAGCUUUUCUGUUUGCCCUACCAUCUUCUUUUCAUCCUGCAUCUCAUCCAUAGGUCUAUAUUGGUAAAUGACCCAAUAAAUGGUGUGGGGUUGGGUUUCCUACUAUGUCACUUCUGACCCAGCACCACAAAAUCCUCGAAUUGUGUGCCCACAGUCACAUUAGGAUGAUAUAUAUAUAUAUAUAUAUAUAUAUAGAGAGAGAGAGAGAGAGAGAGAGAGAGAGAGGUGGUACCUUGAGGCUGGAUAUUGACUCCAGCCAUUCAGCAACUGCGAAGAGAAGCACAAUGAAGCCUGCUUCUGUGUAGUCCUCAAGCGCAACCGCUCCACCCACUGCCAAACAACAAAUGACAAAAGCAUCAGCAAUGGAACUCCAAUUCUACCAAUAACAUGCAUCACCAACACCAAACUGCACAAAACAAUCAAGGUCACAGUGCAUCCAUCAGCUCUGCUUGUUCCAAAUCUCCAUCACAGUAACCAGAGAUUCACAUUGCCAAACUCAUACCAAGCUUAUACAUACCUCAUCCAGACAUGAGGGAAGAAGAAAAUAAUUCUUCAUCAAUGACACAUCUCUACAUAUUGCUUAUAUGAAGCUUUUCAGGAGUUUGCUGCUCUACCUGCAACCAGCAGCAAAAUGUUGGUGUCGAGAGUGCAUGUUCGAAUGGCCGCAACGCUUCUCAGCACAAUCGGCGGCAGGCCAGCCACCACGGCAGCAAUUGCCAGCCAUUUCAGCGGGUGGAAGAAGUGUUUGAACAUGGAAGCUGAGAGCAGCAAUCCAGAGGCCAGUAUGUAUGGACUUGGCCAUUUCUUGACGAUUGCAUCAGUUCCAUAUGCUCGAACGGUAGCUUCAAGCCUCGCCUGGUUCAAUGCCUUAACUGAUGAAGCCAAGAGAAUAGAGUGUAAAGAAACUUUGAUAGAUCCUUCUGCAGCAGUUUGAUUGAGGUCAGUGGUCCUAAAGGUAACUUGAUGAAUGAUGUAUCAGAUCAUCAUCUCUUGCAUUUCAAACUUUGGAAGAUAUGCCUACUUACCGAUCUGAAGCUGCGAGAUAAUGAGGCUGUCAUGGAUUACAAUGACCAUCUUCGAUGGAACGAUGACCGAAACUUUCUGAAUCCCAUCCAAUGAGCUCAAGAUGUUCUCGAUCAGCGGGACCUCGGAGGGGCAGCAGAGCCCCAGAACCUCAAAAUAGCUCUUCUGAUGUCUCACUUCUUUGCUUCUCUUGGGACUGCCUUGUUCUUCCAUUUCCAAGAUCUCUCUUUUCACACCUUAAAACGAUAAGACAUGUUAUGUAGACACUCACUCCAAUUAAGAUGCUAUCAAGCUCCAAUAUCUGAUGUUUGCAGUACUUACAUCUACAUUUCUGAUGCUUACAGUGUGUGUAAGUGGAAAAAAAAAGAAAGCCAGAAGAAAGAGGAAGAGGAUGAUGAACCGGUGCAUGCAGAAGAAUAACCAGUUUCUCAUCUGCAGAACUCAAAGUGAAACAUCAUGUGGCAGGAGAGAGGAUGCAGCCGCAGAAGAACCAAUUCAAAAGAUCUGAGAAAUCUGAGGCUGCUAAUGAAGAAUUGGAGAGCAAAGGAAAUGCAUUUUGUACCUAACGAAUGAGGAGCAAAACCUCCUAUUGCUUGUGCCAAUGGGAAGAAGAGGAUUGGGGUGAUUUAAGAAGGCAAUGCCUUGCCAUAAGGUGGUGGGCAGGCAGGAAAAGGUAGCAAAAUGGAGCAUGAUUUGGUUGAUGACUUGGUGGGCACCAUCAAACAUUUCCUACUGUUGUUUUCUCUUGUGAGCCAAGGAGGAUUCCAUGUUCUUUAUU